GGCCUUCUGGUGCUUACCACAGGCUGUGUUCUUACCCUGACUGUAUUGAUAAAGGGGAGGAAGAGUAAACCUACCCCAUAUACACUUCAGUCUAGGCUUUGUGCUUGGUUUCUAUUGUGAAUAGGAACACAUGA
rnacentral:snoRNA from 1 species